rnacentral:tRNA from 1 species
GGGGCCAUAGCUCAAACUGGGAGAGCGUCUGGUUUGCAUCCAGAAGGUCUGCGGUUCGAUCCCGCAUGGGGUCC